rnacentral:rRNA from 1 species
UACGUAGGGGGCUAGCGUUGUCCGGAUUUAUUGGGCGUAAAGCGCGUGUAGGCGGCCAGAUAGGUCUGCUGUGAAAACUCGAGGCUCAACCUCGAGAUGUCAUCGGAAACCAUCUGGCUAGAGUCCGGAAGAGGAGAGUGGAAUUCCUGGUGUAGCGGUGAAAUGCGCAGAUAUCAGGAAGAACACCAAUGGCGAAAGCAGCUCUCUGGGACGGUACUGACGCUGAGACGCGAAAGCGUGGGGAGCGAACAGG